CUAGUUUUCACUUGACCUCCUGUGCCUGUUAGUUCCCAUGCAGUUCUGAAUUGGUCUUUUGAGCUUUUAGCUAUCGCCAAAGCCUCUGACUGUUCUUCUCUCAAGGCACUUCACUGGGCCUGACUGCAGAAGCACUGCCUGGAGGUGUAGGAAACAUCUCACAAAAAUGGAGCUGAAGGCCAUGGUCUCGGAUGAAAGAGGACAGAGCUCAAAAUAGGGUUUGCUUGGAAAGCCAAAUGUCAAGA
rnacentral:lncRNA from 1 species